rnacentral:tRNA from 1 species
GCGCCCGUAGCUCAGUGGAUAGAGCACUUGACUACGAAUCAAGGUGCCGCAGGUUCGACUCCUGCCAGGCGCGCCA